AGGGGUGCCACAACUACUUUGUGAGCUGAGAUUAUACCCGUAGAACCUGAUGUAGAUAAUGCUACCGUAGGGA
rnacentral:ncRNA from 1 species